GGAAAGGCUGUAGCUCAGUGGAAGAGCUUCUGUUUCACAUGUAGAAGGUCCCAGGUUCAGUCCUUGGCCUCUCCA